GUGGUGUUGAUCUGAAUAAAUCUCUAGGAGGAGUUCGUUAAAGUACAACCCCUGUAAAUGGCAUAAACGACACAAAUUUUGCAGAGAAAAUUCAAAAUAACUGACUUCCUGUUGGGAUUCGAAUUUCGUACCAAGAGACUUUUUUGUAGGUGUUGGUGUGUUACAUGUGUGUACCAAUUUUUGUACAUGUACGUGAAACGUAGCUCGAGGCGCACUCCGUUGAAAAUGUAUAGGUGGCGCUAUCGAGGCAUUUUGCCACACCCAAUGGAAUAUUGGCCUUCAGAUGUGUUCAGGCCAGGACUCUUAUCGAACAUGUGAAGUUUGGGCAAGAUCAGACAUUUUAUGCCUGAGUUACAAUAACUUUUAUUCCCAUGGCGAGACAUCGAACUUUGUGACGGCGCCAUGGACACACCCUUUAACGAAAACUCAAGAUCUUCACAAUUUAACAUCGCAC
ensembl:lncRNA